rnacentral:lncRNA from 1 species
ACCCUGAUCAGCAAGUCUCUUGUCAACAAUUGUCUCCACAUUACCUUUCUCAAACUCUCCAUAAGCCCACUCUGAGAACCUCUUUUGAUUGAUUUCUUCUGAGACUUCAAAGUUCCUCCUCCCACUCACAAGCUCCAACAAAACCAUACCAUAACUGUAAAGAUCAGAUUUUGAUGUUAUUGGGAGGUUUGCUAGCCAUUCUGGUGCCAAAUAUCCUCUCGCCUCUAAUGGUAGUCAAGGACCGGUACCUUUGAUCCUUUGUGCUUAUAAGCUUCGCUAGGCCAAAAUCAGACACCUUGGCAUUGAAAUUCGCAUCCAAGAGAAUGUUUUCUGGCUUUAUAUCACAGUGAACAAUGCAAUCUCGACAUUCCUCAUGAAGAUAAGUGAUUCCUCUUGCAGUCCCAAGAGCAAUGUUGAACCUGCGCUUCCAAUUCAAUAAUUUCCCUGACUGAUCUUCGGUCGUGAACAGGAAAUGAUCCAAAGAACCAUUUUUCAUGAACUCGUAUACUAAAAGCCUGUGACGCCCUUCGGAGCAAAAGCCAAUCAAUCUAACCAGAUUCAAAUGGUGAGUACUGCUUAUAGUUGCAACCUCCAUCCGAAACUGUCUCUCGCCUUGUUCAAUUCCCUCAAGUUGCUUUGCUGCAACUACUGUUCUGUUAGCAAGAACUCCUCUAUAAACAGCUCCAAACCCUCCUGCUCCAAGCUUAUCCUUAAACCCCUUCGUCCAGCGAUGCAGAUCCUUGUAAGAAAAGUGGACGGGAGCACCUGAGGCAUAAUCAAGAAGUGUAUACUGAGCCCACACACCUCCAAAUUUGGGACUAUUUUUGCAACAAAACCACCAAAACAAACCCACUAAAGCAGCCAAACCCAAAAGAGUGCCUGCAACCAAGACACCAACUUCCCAACCCCGCGAUUCCCGGAACUUUUUAUCUCCACCAAUCUGGUCAGAAGGCAAAGGAUUUGGUUGCACUGGUCCACAAACCUUAAUAUAAGAAGUACCAAGAAGCACUGGACCCUGAUAUCCACUAACAAAAUCAGGUGUGCUUUUCGUGUAACAAUAUAUAUAUGUGUCUGAUGUAGAAGUGCAAGCCACGCAAGAAGGGCUUGAUAAACAGUUCCCUCUGCAAGCUGUUAUCCCAGUGUUAAGAAUUUGCUCAGCCUGGAAACUAAGAAAUUUAGUCUGCUUUAACUCCAGCAUUGUUACGUUCCCUGCACAAUGCGCAACCUCCACUUUUCUCUUACACCCUUUUCUACUAUCAUUCAUAUCCACAGCCUCAAAAUUCAGAGAUGGGCAUUUGCAAAUCGGACUAAAACUUGACUCGUUAUAACUACAGAUCCCCAUGUUUCCACAGUAUCCAUAAACCUGACACUGAUCUGCUAAAGCUGCCCAUGUCAUAGCUGUAGUUCCACCACUAUACAUUCUCAGAUUCCCAUCGCUACCUAACCUCAAAAAUCUCAUUAUCUCACCCCCUUCUCCAUAAUCAUUGCCAAAAGCAACAGACAUCCGCGAACCAGCAUCUAAAAGAUUUAAAAUCCCAUUUGGCUGCAACUGCAAGGUUGGAGGAGUCAACUUCAAAGCAGAACUCAAGCCUUGAUUCCAGUACACAACACGUCGUUCCAUGUCAAGCUCAUAUUUCCACUGCUUAGAAGCCGGAAAGAGUAAACCCCUGAUCGCAAAGUUUGGUUUACAGUUAAAUUCUGUGACGGGACAAGAGUGUCGGUUGGGUUUUCAAAACUGGACCAGACAUUGAUACUGCCGGCUUUCAGUACCAGGUUUCCAGUAUCAUCAAGUGAAGCAGAAGUGACACCAAGGUUGGCAGUGUUGGAGGUCCACACGGUGGCACCUGAUCCGUUGGUGAGACGGAGAUUUCCGUUGGGGAGGAACUGGAAUUCUCCACCGUAGUCAAUGACAGCUGCAGAGGCAGUGCCAGCAACAACAUUGGCAGUUGUCCAGAUGGAAACUCCAGCAGUUCUAUGGGAGAUGGAAACGGUGUAGGAAGUGGGAUCCACUUGGGUAAAGCCUAGAAAGAAAGUGUUGUUUGGAGACGACCAGGUUUGGCUUGUGUUGGAGGCAUAAAGAGAGGAGCCUGGUGGUAUGUUUGCUGUGGAAGUAGUGGUGAAGACGAGAAGGAGAGGAAGCUGGAGGGAGAAGAGAACAGAAGUUCAUUAUUUUAUUUUUAUUUUUUUGUGGGCACAAUUGAGGCUGAGUGGUUAGUUGAUUUCUCGAUGUCUUAUAAAUGCAAAAGAAGUGAGGAUUUUCCCAUGUCUAACGUUGGACUAUUUUGUUUUUCCAGGAAAAAAAAAAAAGACAAAGAAAAGAAGUAAAACCAAACCACGGAAAAAUUGGUUUAGAACCUUGAGAAAAUUCAUUGCGUAUGCCGUAAGGCCAGACAGAAACACAGAACACAAGACUUUGAACAAGGAAUACAGCCUCAAGAACCGAAGGUCUCUAGUACUUUCUAGUGCUGACCGUUUCUCAUAGAAUGAUUUUCUAAUUCUCCUUUACACUUGUUAACUAUUAAAGUAAUUUACUCUAAAGUUUAGAUUAUAAUCUUUAUAUUAAUAAGCUCUUAACUUUAAGAAUGUAAUAUUUAUACUUGUAACUACUCAUGAUAUAUUAAAUAUAUGGGAUAUAUAGUCAUUAAAGCUUGAUGGAAGCUUUGGCUAUAAAUACUGUUAUUUAUCCUCAUAUUAAUUUACUUAAUUUCCUAAAGUUUUACACCAUUUAUAUAGAGUGAAUAAAGUUUAGAAAUGUCAAAUAUAUAUAAAAGAGAACAGUGAAUACGUAGGAACAUUAAUAACUGGAGGUAUUUUUUUUAUUAUUAAAUCUUAUAAUUUUGUUAUAAACAUAUUUAUUCCGCAUCAUAGAAUUGUUAAUUAAGUUUUACAAGUGCUUGAAAAAAAAAAAAAAAAAAAGGAGAGCUCGUAAGGAGACCUGGAAUCAAAGCACAUUCACACAAAUAAAAGAUAUUUCCCGCAGAUGAAACUCAUUAUGACUUCGAAUGGACUAGACAAAGGUAUGUUAUUUGGUCUUUUCUAGUUAUUACAAAAUUGUUCGAGUGUAUGUAAGUUUUUUUAAUUUUUUUCAUAGUAAAUUAAUGUAUUGACUCCUAAGAUCAACAAUAUUUAUAAAUGUUGACCUAUGUUUAUUUUUUCUUUUCAAAACUUUAAAGCAAUGAAAUUACUUAUUUAGUUCUAGGGUCAAAAAAGUAUUAAUUGUCACCAAGAGUUUUUUUUUUUUUUUUAGAAUAUAGUAAAAAUAUAUUUUUAUCUUAGAAAAAACAAAUAACAAGGCAUGCAUUAGGUAUUUUUAUCUUUUCACACAAGUUUUUUUUAUGAUAUAUUAUUAUUUUUAAUUUAGUUUUUAUUUUUUAACUUUAGAUUUUUCCCUUAACUUUUUUUUGUUAAAGUUUUAUUGCCACAAAGAAAUAGGUGAGGGUUUGUUUGGCUUUGCAAAGUCACAUCAUAUUAUCAUAUUAUGCCUCAACUUUCAAUUAAAUACAAAUGUUUGGUACGUCUUUUUAAAUAUAUAGAAACCACUUAAAAGCUUUAAUUUUUAAGAACAUGAGAUUAAUUACCAGCUUUUUUCAAAAAUUAAUUUUUUUUUACUAUAAUUUUUGUUUUAUUCUUAUUUUACAAAAUUAUCCUCCAACCAAGAGUGAAUGCAUGUUAAAGACUUGGAUGCGCUGUAACCUAAAUCAAAAUUUUAUUAAUAUUGUUUAACUAGUUUUAUGUAAAAUAAAUUUAUAAUUCUUGAUUGAAUUAUAAAACAAUUCUGAAAUUUUACAUGGAGUCUUCUAAUAUAAUGCUUUAGCUUGGGUUAAAAUUUCAGAAUUUUUAGAAAAAUUCAGAAAUUUAAUAAAAAAAAUCAUAAUUUGAUCAGUUUUAUAUUAUUGGAUGUAAUUUUUAAAUCAGCCAUCAAAUUGAGCUGAAAUUUUAUAAGGAAUCUUAGAAAAUAUUUAAUAAAAUCUGGUUAAAAUUUUAGAAUUAAAAAAACUUGAUAGUGUUAAAAAAAAACAUCAAAUAAAAACAAAAUAACUCAUUAAAAAUAAAAUAAGUUAAUAAUUGAUCUUUAAAAAAAUUUAUAUAUUUAUUUAAUAGCACAUAACAGAAAACAUUUAUGGCUCCAACCUUUCAAGAUAAUUAUGGUCGUAUUAUAUAUAAAUCCCAUUGUCUUUUAUAUAGGUGUAUAUAAGCUAUUUGGUUUUUCUUUUUUCUUUCUUUCUUUCUUCGUUAUUUCCAUUGUCUUCGUUACUGGUCUAGAUUUGGACCCUGUCAUCUGCGUUCUUUUGCUCUCUGUCUCCACUAAUUCUUGUUUUUUUGGUUUCUGGAUUUGUUUUACGUUGUGCAAUCGCUUCUUUGGUUCUUGGUUUGUUUCUAUGGUGGUUGUGAGAGGCUUCCCAGGUGUGCUUCACCUCACAUAGUUUGUCACUCUCAUGCUCUUGUUUGUUUUACCUCGGUUGCAUGUUUUUGUUUGAGUCUCUUUUCCAUGGACCGUUGGUUUUGACAAAGUUGGGGUUUUGAGUAGCGGUAAUUAUUUUCGAUUCUUCAGUUUUUAUCAAAAAAAGUCACCAAACCAAUUUUUUUUCAAAAAAAUCGGAAUCGAUUCAAACCGACCGGUUUCAAUUCGGUUCGGUUAUUUUAGAAUAAAAACCGGUUUUUCCAGUUUAGCUCGAUUUUUUUUUGUUUUGUCAGUUUCAAUUCGAUACGAUUUUUUCGGUUUAAGACUUAUAAAACCAAACCGAACAGGUUGGUUUUUUAAAAAUUCUAAUCUGUUUAAUUGGGUUUUUUUCACGGUUUGGUUUUUUCAGUUAUUUUUUCCCGGUUUAAGCAGUUUUUUAGUUUUUUUACUCACCCCUAAUUUAAUUUUGAAUGCAAUAAGUGAAGAGGAGAGGAAUAAAUGUUUCAAAGUAGUCCUAGUUUGGAAGAAAUAUAAACAAAUGGUUUAGAGGUUUUUGAAAAAUAAUAUGGUUUGUUGAAAAUUGAGGUAGAAUCACAUUGGUUAGAAAAGUAUUUGAAAAAUACUACAAUUUGGACACAAUUAUCUUUUUAAAAAAUCAAUUCAAAAUUUUAUGAAUUUUAUGAAAAUAUAAUAGUUAAAAGAUGAGAUUCAAGAUAUAUGUGAUGGGAAAAACAAGAUAUAUGUGAUGGGAAAAAGAAAUGAAGGAAAAAAAAUAAGUUAUUACGGACUCACCAGGUUUUGUUUUUUAUAUAUUCAAUAUAAUUAAAAAAAUCUCAAUGAAAUAAUUAUAACCAUACAUUAAAAGAAUAACAAAUAAAGUCAUAAUUAACCUUAAAUUACUUGGCCAUUUUAAUGUAUUAUCCUAUGAGAAAAGCUUCCACUUAUUUCUUUCAUUGUUGUUAAGACAUUUCUUUGCACUUUAAAGUUUCGUAAGAACAUAGUCUUUUCCCCUUUUUAUUCUUACAACAACUUAAAAAGUACUUUAUAUUGAAAAACCAUAAACCUCAAUUCCCAAUAAAUCAAAUGUUGAAAAAUAAGAUCAAUAAAAAUAAUCAAUUACACAAAAUGAACUAAAAUAGAAAAAAAAAUUGAUAAUUAAAAGAGCAAGGAUGAAAAUGAAAAUAAAAAAUAAAUUAGAAGGCAAUUAAAUUUUUUCAAUUAGAGGGGUUAAAGUGGAAAGAAAAAUAACUUUAAUAAAAGAAAAAAAUCAAAAGAAUAGGGACCAAAUUGAAAAAAAUAAUACACCAUAAACUUGGAUUAAAUGAUAAAAUUAAAAACCAAUAAAAUUUUUAUAGAAAAACCAAGGAAAAAUUAAAAUUAAAAGAAUAAGAACCAAAUUGGAAACAUAUAUAACAUAUAACAAAUUGUAAUUGAAGGACUAUAUUGAAAUAAAAAAACACAUUUUACCAAAGUGUUAAGAAAAAAAAUUAAAAAUCAAAAUAAUAAGAUUUGAAGUUGAAGUAUAAAAAAUAAAGAGGAUUAACCUGUGAUUUUUUGAGGGGGAGAGAUGAAAAAAAAAAAAGGCUCAUUAGUAACAAACCACCUCUCCGUCACCGAAAUGAGCUGCAUCAAGAGAAAGAAAACAUGGCGUCACUUUCAAUGACAUGACAAAAGGACAAGUUUUGCCACUAAGAGGUGUUGUAGGCGCCACCUAGUAUGCACGAGUGCCUUUAACAGACACCAACAAUUUUUAUUUUAUUUUAAUAUUAAUUGAUCUUGUUUAAAAGAUUAAAUCGCACUCAAUGAACUAGAAGAGAACAAAAAAGGCAAGGUUGUUUUUCUUACUUUAAGAGAAUUUUAGUAACUUAACUAUGAAUUCAAAAGUAAAAAUUCAAAACUGCUCCUACAUACAAAGAUUUAUUUUCUUCUUUUUCCUUUUUUUUUUAAUCUCCAAGGGCAUUUUUGUCUUUAUAUUAUUCAUAAAAUAAUUAAAAGAUCUUGUUGCCCCGUCAACCAAGUCAAAGUUUUUGGAAUUGAAAGGCAAGACCAUAAAUUAAUGGUUGGGCCGAUCUCGGCCUAGCAUUUAUUUAUUUACUUUUAGGGGUUGGGUUGGACCUAGCCCAUAAAUUUAGGAUGGGCCAGAUACAACCCAACCCAACGUCCGCUGCAUGAGUUGUGGGCGUGAAUUAUAAUUCACUCCCAUUGUUCAUGUGAACAGUAGGGCGUGAAUUAUAAUUCACGCCUACUGUUCACGUAGUGAACAACAUGGAGAAGAAGAGGAAGAGGAAAAGGAAAGUUACCUAGCGUGGAGGUGGUCUAACCGAGGAGGACGACGCAGUGCAAGCGGUGGUAACGGUGGAGAGUUGAGCCGCCGCGGUUGUUGUUGCUCGCGUUGCAGGUGCUGCUGUGACGGUCGGUGCUGGGGUUGCUUGGGGUUAGAGCGGAUGAGAAGGGUUUCGCCGCCUCUGCUGCAGUUGGUAAGGGUGGAAGCCGCUGUAAAUGGUGGUUGCAAUCACUGUUAGGGUGGCGGUGGUAGAGAGAGAAAAAAAGUUUCACAAAGAAGAGAGAGAGAGAGAGAGAGGUGGUGCCACCACGUGAGGUUGUUGAGUGGCUGGCUGUGAUGUAUAAUGUGCUGGGAAGGACGGUGGUGAGAGUGGUGGCGGCCGAAGGUGCGGCUAAGAAGGAGAAAGCAGAAAAGGAUGAAAACAGGGGAGAAAGGCUGAUUUUUUGUCAACUUUGCACUUGAUUCCCCCCCCUAGGCCAUCAACUUCGUCUCUAUUUAUAAGCGGUGGAAGAGGGCAAUCUUGUCUACAUUGGGGAAAAAUUUCAGCCCUUGAUUCGGUUGGGAAGGAUCCCAACCGUUGGCUCAAAGUGAGCAUCAUGACCUGUUCAAUUCGCAGAAAAGGUUGCCCGAGUUGGCCUGAUUAGGCCGGCGUCAGCACCGUCUCGUUGACAUUUAGACUGAAAUGCUCAGUUGGAGUUGUAAAGAAACUGUGGGGGAUCAUUUGCGUGCAUUUUUUUGUUAGAUUUGAUGGAGAAAAGAAGCAUUAAAUGCUCCUGAAAAGUAGCCGUCUAGGCAGCAUUCACAGGCGAAAUCGGGGAAGACAAUGAAUAGUACAAGACGACGCGUUGUCUUUUUUUUUUUUUUACACAAAACGGCGCCGUUUUGGAUUGAAUUAGGGAGUUUAACUGAUUUUCAAUGUAAUCCUCCAGCUUUCAAUUGACUUCAAUUGAACCCCUAAUUGGCCAUAAACUUUUGAUUUAAUACAAUUAAGCCCCUGAUGAACUUCAAUUUGAACCCUGAAGUUACGCACCUUUUACAACAUGGUCCUUGGUCUCGGAUUUGGUCAAUUUAACCCCUAAUUGACCAUUAAACUUUCAAUUUCUUCAAUUUCACCCCUAAAGUUUGGCGCCUGUUGCGAAUUGGUCCCUGAUCUCGGAUUUCUUCAAUUUAACCCCUAAUUGACCCCAAAACUUCAAUCUUCUUGCAAUUUGGCCCUCACUUUCAAUCAAUUAACUUGGUAAAAAUUAAAUUUGGUCUUUUAAAAUUUCAAUCUUCUCAAUUAAGCCCAAAUUAAGCUCCCAAGCUUAAUUUUUCACCAAUUAAGCCCCAAAUAAAAUUAAUUUGACCCAUUUAAAGUAUAAUUAAGUCCUUGCACUUAAUUAAAUCCUUUAAUUGAAUCAAAAUUAAUUCUCAAAUAUAAUUAAAAUUCAAUUUGGCCAAUGAUUAAAUCAAAUUGGCCUAUUAAAAAUUUAAUUAUGUCCUUGAACUUAAUUUUUCACUAAUUAAGCCUGAAAUAAAAUUAAUUUGACCCAUUUAAAGUAUAAUUAAGUCCUUGCACUUAAUUAAAUCCUUUAAUUGAAUCAAAAUUAAUUCUCAAACAUAGUUAAAAUUUAAUUUGGCCCAUGAUUAAAUCAAAUUGGCCUAUCAAAUUGGCAAAUUCGUCUAAUAAUCAUUUAAUUUGACCUUGAAUUUGCAAUGUUUUUCCAUUUUUUGGGCAUAAUGGGGUACAAUUAGGCCUUGAAUUUCCUCCAAAAAUUACAGCUUGAUUUCCCCGUCUACUUUCUGCAUAUUGCUAGCCUUUAUCUUAUUUUUUUAUUUUUAUUUUGAAAAAAAAAAUAUUUUUGAGGAAUAACCAAGAAUUGAGUUAUUACAAUGCACACGAGAUUUGCAUACCAUCUUGAGGCAAACAACUUUGGUAGAGAAUAAUUGAGCAAACGUUUACCUUAAAAAAUUUAUGCUUGUGUAGUUACAAGUUUGUUGAACAGAAAUCGGGCUCGUGGAAAGCAUGAAGUCUAAUGAGAUUUUAUUUCAAAUGAUUCCAACAAUGAUGGAUAUGGCCUCUCCAUAAUCCUCUCUGAAACUAUAGGGGAUAUGCCUGCAGUUCAAAAUGAUGAAGAUAAAGAGGGUGGUGGAGCUGAGGCUUCACUAUUGGUGGGAGGAACCACUGGUGGUGGCUUUAAAACACUCAGAGGGGAUAAAACACGAAGUUUUAUUACAAAAAACAGAAGCUUAACAAUAACAAUAAAGCUUUACAAUACACACCCUCUCUCUCUCUCUAUCUAUUGUUUUUCUCUUCUCUCCACACUUAUAAUAACCUUAGCUUAGAUGCUUAUUUAUACACAAAUUCAGUCGGCUCAAAAUUCAACCGUCAUGGUGUGAAAAAUGGUUGGCGGCCAAUGGUGUGAAUGCGGCUAGGCGGUGGCAGCUGGUGGCUGGCGGCUGGUCGGUGACAGCUGGUGGCCGGUGAGGCGGUGGUUGCCUUCCUUGACCUUCUGGAUGUUGAGUUUAAUAUUCAACAAAUCUCCCCCUUAAACUCAAUCGAGGGAUGUCAUGCCUAGCAUGUACUUUAAUCUGAUAAAUACUUCUCUUUUCAAUGGCUUUGUGAAGAUGUCUGCAACUUGAUCAUUUGUGUUGCAAGAUAUCAGUUGAACUUCUUCAUUCUUCACAUGUUCCCGGAUAAAGUGAUGACGUGUAUCAAUAUGUUUGCUCCUCUCAUGAUACACUGGAUUCUUUGCCAAUGCGAUUGCUGAUCGGUUGUCAAUAUAAAUCUCCGUAGGAUUUUCUUGAGGAAAUCCCAAAAACUUCAGCAUAUUCCUUAACCAUAUUGAGUGGCAUACGGCUGAGUUGGCAGCUACAUAUUCAGCUUCACAGCUUGAUAACGUGACAAUCGAUUGCUUCUUGGAUGACCAUGUGAAAGAUGUGUCUCCCAUGAAAAAGACAAACCCUGUUGUGCUUUUCCUUUCAUCCAAAUCUCUACCCCAAUCACUAUCCGAGUAGCCUACAAGAUUAAAGUCUUUACUUGAGGUAUAAAACAUACCUUCAUUCAUUGUGCCUUUGAUGUAGCGAAGAAUUCUCUUGGCUGCAUUCAAAUGAGACUGGUCUGGUGUCUCCAUGUAUCUGCUGACGAGUCCGACUCCGUAGAGUAUAUCUGGUCUGGUACAUGUCAAGUACCUUAAGCUUCCUCAAUUCCACUCCAUUCUCAACUGGAGUUGAUACCGGAUUGCAGCUUUCCAUCUUGAACCUUUCACGAAUAUCUUUGGCGUAACCGCUUUGGGAUACAAAAAUCCCUUCUUCCUUCUGCGUUACUUCUAAGCCAAGAAAAUGUGACAUUAGACCAAUGUCAAUCAUUUCAAACUCCUGUACCAUGCUUUGUUUGAAGUCGUCAAACAUGGUAGGGUUGUUGCCGGUGAAUAUCAAAUCAUCAACAUACAGGCACGCAAAUAAGAUGCUGCCAUCUGCUCCUUUCUUCACAUAUAUAGCGUGUUCAUAUGGACAUUUCUCAAAUCCAUUAUCUUGAAAAUACCUGUCAAUUCUGGUAUUCCAAGCACGCGGAGCUUGCUUCAAACCAUAGAGAGCCUUCUUCAACUUGUAUACUUUGCCUUCAUUUUCAGCAUCAAUGUAUCCAAGUGGUUGUUCAACAUAGAUUUCUUCUUCUAGGAAGCCAUUCAGAAAUGCUGACUUCACAUCGAGUUGAUAGAUCUUCCAUCUAUGUUGUGCAGCUAGUGAGAUCAUCAGUCUGAUUGUCUCUAGCCGGGCUACUGGAGCAAAUAUUUCUCCAUAGUCAAUGCCUUCUCUCUGUUUGUAGCCUUUAGCCACUAAUCUGGCUUUGUAUCUUUGCACUUCUCCUUUGGCAUUCUUCUUCGUCUUGUAGACCCAUUUGACACCUAUUGCUUUCUUGUUUUCUGGUAGAUAAGUCAGCUUCCAGGUAUCAUUCUUCUCAAUGGCAUGUAUUUCUUCAUCCAUUGCUGUUAUCCAUUUCUCUUCUGUGACAGCUUCAUUGAAGCUUAAUGGGUCACUAUCUGCAAAGAAACAAAAUAAAUUUGUAUCUUCCAUAACUUGAGUGGCAUCAUACAGCUCUUCAAGAUUCCGCAUCCUUCUUGGUCUUCUGAUGAGAUGCUGAUGGUGGUGUUGAUGAUGAUGCUCCUGGUGUAUUCCUCCUGUUGAAUACAGGGAAUCUGUGCACCGGACUUUGUGGUUCAGCUGCUGGCAUAAUCACCGGAUUUUGUGGUUCAGCUGCUGGCACAAUCGGUUCUUCUAUAAGUACUGUUGGUACUUCUUCACCUUCAAGGAUCAAAUCAGUGUUGAUCCAUCUGACUGCUUCUUGAUCAUCAUUCCAUGCCCAAGAUUUAUCUUCUUCAAAGAUAACAUCUCUACUCGUAAUCACCUUCUUCGUGAUGGGAUUAUACAGCCUGUAUCCCAUCCUUCUUUCACCAUAUCCGACAAAGAUGCAUUUCUCGCUCUUAUCAUUGAGCUUUCUCCUUCUUGCAUCUGGGAUCUUUGCAUAUGCCACACAACCAAAAACUCGUAGAUGAGUUACACUUGGUUUGUGACCACUCCAUGCUUCUUCUGGAGUGAUUCCUUGCAAACUUCUGGUUGGGCAGCGAUUCAACAGAUACACUGCACAUGAUACAGCUUCAGCCCAGUAUUGCUUGGGCAACUUCUUUGCUUUGAGCAGACUUCUAGCCAUGUCAAGAAUUGUGCGAUUCUUCCUUUCUGCUACACCAUUCAGCUGUGGUGUAUAAGCUGGCGUCGUCUGAUGUCUAAUGCCUUGUUGUGUACAAUAGGCUUCAAAGUCAUUGGCUGUAUAUUCUCCACCUUGAUCAGAUCUCACUGUUCUGAUCGUGUAACCAGUUUGCUUCUCCACAAUUGCUUUAAAAUCUUUAAAACAAUUGAAUACUUCUGACUUCCUCUUCAGAAAGUAUAUCCACGUCUUUCUACUAAAAUCAUCAGUAAAAGUGAGGAAGUACCUAUUUUGUCCAGUCGACAUAGGCGUAAUUGGGCCACACACAUCUGUGUGUACUAACUCCAGUGGCCUCUUUGCUCUCCAGUUGACUUCUUUGGCAAAACUGGAUCUGUGAUGUUUGCUGAGGACACAACUCUCACAGACUUCAUCUGGAUGAUCAAUGUGAGGCAAACCUUUGACCAUCUUCUUGCUUGCUAGCAUCUUCAGACUUGUGAAAUUCAGAUGUCCAAGCCUUAGGUGCCAAAGCCAUUCUUCACUGUUGGUGAUGGCUAGCAUCUUCAGACUUGUGAAAUUCAGAUGUCCAAGCCUUAGGUGCCAAAGCCAUUCUUCACUGUUGGUGAUGGCGCUCAAACACCUUGUUGCAUCAUACUGGAUGUUCAAAGGAAACAUCCUAUUCUUGGACAUUUUCACGUAGGCCAUUAAUCUCCCAUUGUUGUCUCUAAUUGCUAGAUGACAAUUCUUCGAGUAAAAAAUAUAUCCUCUCUCCAACAGUUGACCUAAGCUGAUCAGGUUCUGCUUUAUGGCUGGGACAUAAUAGACAUCGGCGAUGUAGCUGGAAUCGCCAUUCUUCAACUUAACUGGGAUGCUGCCUUUACCUUUGAAUGGAACCUUUGUGGUAUCUCCAAAAGUAACUAGACCUUGCUUGGUCUCCUCUAGAUCACGAAAUAACUCUCGGUAGCCGCACAUGUAAUUGCUGGCUCCAGUAUCUAGAUACCAUAUAUCCUCAUGUUUCUCAUCAUGUCCUUGUUGGACAAGAAAUGCAGUUUCUUCUCUAUCAUCCUUUUCUGCAUAGUUGACUUGCUCACGUAUCUCUAACGGAGUUUUCCUUCGGCAUUCAGUGCUAUAGUGCCCAAAUUGAUUGCAGCUAUAACAUUUGAUAUUCCUCUUGUCAUGGUUAUUGUAACCGCCUCCUCUUCCUCUAGGAGUGAAUGCUUGUUGUCCUCGGCCUCCUCUGGUGGUGCUUCUACCACCUCUUCCUCUGAAGUUUGUAUUCCAAGAUCCUCUUCCUCUUCCUUGGAAUCUAUGAAAUCCUCCUCUGGAUUGUUGACUUCCUGCUUGAGUGGUGUAGCCACCUGUUGAAGUCUCCCAUUGCUCAUAUCUGUCUUUGAAAGACAGCUUUGCUUGUAAGGCAUGCUCAAUGGCCUUAUCUUCAUUUCGCAUUACAAUCUUCUGCUCAUGAGCUUGCAAAGAACUCAUAAGUUUCAUCCACUAUCAACUUGUCCACUUCCUUGGACUCUUCAAUUGCGACAACAACAUGAUCAAAUUUUGGAUCUAUGGAUCUCAAAAUUUUCUCAAUAAUUCGAGUAUCUAUGAUGGCUUCUCCAUUUCUCCUCAUCUGAUUGACUAUCACCAUAAUCCUUGUAUGAUAAUCAGAAAUAGAUUCUGAGGACUUCAUUCGUAAUAAUUCGAAUUCUCCUCUCAAAGAUUGAAGACGAAUCUUCUUGAUUCUGUCAGCACCUUUGUAUUUUUUGUUGGAGAGCCUCCCAUAUAUCAUGUGACGUUUCAGCGGAAGCUAUUAUCUCGAAUGUAUCUUCAUCAAGACCUUGAUAGAUGAUGGUCUUUGCCUUGUUGUCCUUCUUUCUGUUGACUUUCAAAGCUUGCUUCUGUGCCUCUUGUAAAGCAUCUUCUCUUUCUUUGGAUUCUGGUUCAUCAUAACCAGUUUGUACAAUAUCCAAACACUCUUGUGACCCAAGGAAUGCCUUCAAUCUGAUGCACCAACUAUCAUAGUUGUCUUUGGUCAGCUUCGGGAUGAGUGUAUGUGUACCUUCUGUAGUCAUUUUGCUCUUUGAAUGACUAUAUCACCUUUCUGGGAGCCGAAUUUGGCCAAACGGACACUGUAGAUCGAUCCGGAAUGGUCCAAAUAGUAGGGAACCGGUCUUACUUUGUUGAAAUCGGGUCAAACAACAAUGGGUGAAAUCGGGAAUAUUCUCUCUCGGCUGCGGCUGGAAUACGACUCGGCUCGGCGCGGAGGACGGCUCGGCUUGUGGCUCGGCUGGACUCGGCUAUCGGCUCGGCUGGCGCUCGGCUUAGGCGGCUUACACGGCUCGAAUAUGGCGCGCGUGGACGACACUCGUCGUCUUCCUCUGGAGCGCGUGGGUGCGCGUGGGUUACAGUCACCGGAUCUUCAGACGGCGCGUGUGGAUCACCCCGGACUCCGAUCAGGCUGAUUUUUGCGGCAGUGAACUCGUCUUGAGGAGCUCUACACUGUGGAAUGAUCAAAACUUGUUUUUGACAAUUUUGAAAAUUCGGAUAUACCCCAAAACACUUCUGUUUUCCGACGAACGGGGCUCUGAUACCAAUUGUUGGUGGGAGGAACCACUGGUGGUGGCUUUAAAACACUCAGAGGGGAUAAAACACGAAGUUUUAUUACAAAAAACAGAAGCUUAACAAUAACAAUAAAGCUUUACAAUACACACCCUCUCUCUCUCUCUAUCUAUUGUUUUUCUCUUCUCUCCACACUUAUAAUAACCUUAGCUUAGAUGCUUAUUUAUACACAAAUUCAGUCGGCUCAAAAUUCAACCGUCAUGGUGUGAAAAAUGGUUGGCGGCCAAUGGUGUGAAUGCGGCUAGGCGGUGGCAGCUGGUGGCUGGCGGCUGGUCGGUGACAGCUGGUGGCCGGUGAGGCGGUGGUUGCUUUCCUUGACCUUCUGGAUGUUGAGUUUAAUAUUCAACAUUCACAAGUGCACUGAGCACUAUCUUUACUGCUCAAAUUCGUACUUGUUCCACUAGUAGAGCCUUUCAUCAAUGCCUUUGGUGCUGGUGGUCUUGCAAUCUCUAUAAUUCCUUCAAGCAUUUGCACAACUUUUCCCAUUGUUGGUCUUUGAGAGGGAUGCUCCUGAAUGCACCAAAAGCUAACCUGAACAGCUCUCGUCACUUGUUCCAUGUCCACACCCUGAUCAACAAGCCUCUUGUCAACAAUUGUCUCCACAUUACCUUUCUCAAACUCUCCAUAAGCCCACUCUGAGAACCUCUUUUGAUUGAUUUCUUCUGAGACUUCAAAGUUCCUCCUCCCACUCACAAUCUCUAACAAAACCAUACCAUAACUGUAAAGAUCAGAUUUUGAUGUUAUUGGGAGGUUUGCUAGCCAUUCUGGUGCCAAAUAUCCUCUCGUGCCUCUAAUGGUAGUCAAGGACCGGUACCUUUGAUCCUUUGUGCUUAUAAGCUUCGCAAGGCCAAAAUCAGACACCUUGGCAUUGAAAUUCGCAUCCAAGAGAAUGUUUUCUGGCUUUAUAUCACAGUGAACAAUGCAAUCUCGACAUUCCUCAUGAAGAUAAGUGAUUCCUCUUGCAGUCCCAAGAGCAAUGUUGAACCUGCGCUUCCAAUUCAAUAAUUUCCCUGACUGAUCUUCGGUCGUGAACAGGAAAUGAUCCAACGAACCAUGUUUCAUGAACUCGUAUACUAAAAGCCUGUGACGCCCUUCGGAGCAAAAGCCGAUCAAUCUAACCAGAUUCAAAUGGUGAGUACUGCUUAUAGUUGCAACCUCCAUCCGAAACUGUCUCUCGCCUUGUUCAAUUCCCUCAAGUUGCUUUGCUGCAACUACUGUUCUGUUAGCAAGAACUCCUCUAUAAACAGCUCCAAACCCUCCUGCUCCAAGCUUAUCCUUAAACCCCUUCGUCCAGCGAUGCAGAUCCUUGUAAGAAAAGUGGAUGGGAGCACCUGAGGCAUAAUCAAGAAGUGUAUACUGAGCCCACACACCUCCAAAUUUGGGACUACUUUUGCAACAAAACCACCAAAACAAACCCACUAAAGCAGCCAAACCCAAAAGAGUGCCUGCAACCAAGACACCAACUUCCCAACCCCGCGAUUCCAGGAACUUUUUAUCUCCACCAAUCUGGUCAGAAGGCAAAGGAUUUGGUUGCACUGGUCCACAAACCUUAAUAUAAGAAGUACCAAAAAGCACUGGACCCUGAUAUCCACUAACAAAAUCAGGUGUGAUUUUCAUGUAACAAUAUAUAUAUGUGUCUGCUGUAGAAGUGCAAGCCAUGCAAGAAGGGCUUGAUAAACAAUUCCCUCUGCAAGCUGUUAUCCCAAUGGAAUGCUCAGCCUGGAAAGUAAGAAAUUUAGUCUGCUUUAACUCCAGCAUUGUUACGUUCCCUGCACAAUCCGCAACCUCCACUUUUCUCUUACACCCUUUUCUACUAUCAUUCACAUCCACAGCCUCAAAAUUCAGAGACGGGCAUUUGCAAAUCGGACUCAAACUUGACUCGUUAUAACUACAGAUCCCCAUGUUUCCACAGUAUCCAUAAACCUGACACUGAUCUGCUAAAGCUGCCCAUGUCAUAGCUGUAGUUCCACCACUAUACAUUCUCAGAUUCCCAUCGCUACCUAACCUCAAAAAUCUCAUUAUCUCACCCCCUUCUCCAUAAUCAUUGCCAAAAGCAACAGACAACCGCGAACCAGCAUCUAAAAGAUUUAAAAUCCCAUUUGGCUGCAACUGCAAGGUAGGAGGAGUCAACUUCAAAGCAGAACUCAAGCCUUGAUUCCAGUACACAACACUGUCGUUCCAUGUCAAGCUCAUAUUUCCACUGCUUAGAAGCCGGAAAGAGUAAACCCCUGAUCGCAAAGUUUGGUUUACAGUUAAAGUCUGUGACGGGACAAGAGUGUCGGUUGGGUUUUCAAAACUGGACCAGACAUUGAUACUGCCGGCUUUCAGUACCAGGUUUCCAGUAUCAUCAAGUGAAGCAGAAGUGACACCAAGGUGGGCAGUGUUGGAGGUCCACACGGUGGCACCUGAACGGUUGGUGAGAAGGAGAUUUCCGUUGGGGAGGAACUGGAAUACUCCAUCGUAGUCAAUGACAGCUGCAGAGGCAGUGCCACCAACAACAUUGGCAGUUGUCCAGAUGGAAACUCCAGUAGUUCUAUGGGAGAUGGAAACGGUGUAGGAAGUGGGAUCCACUUGGGUAAAGCCUAGAAAGAAAGUGUUGUUUGGAGACGACCAGGUUUGGCUUGUGUUGGAGGCAUAAAGAGAGGAGCCUGGUGGUAUGUUUGCUGUGGAAGUAGUGGUGAAGACGAGAAGGAGAGGAAGCUGGAGUAGGAGAAGAGAGCAGAAGUUCAUUAUUAUUAUUUUUUUGUGUGUGGGCACAAUUGAGGCUGAGUGGUUAGUUGAUUUCUCGAUGUCUUAUAAAUGCAAAAGAAGUGAGGAUUUUCCCAUGUCUAACGUUGGACUGUUUUGUUUUUCCAAGGAAAAAAAAAAAGACAACAAAAGAAAAGUAAGAACCACGGGAAAAAUUGGUUUAGAACCAUCAGAAAAUUCAUUGCGUAUGCCGUAAGGCCAGACAGAAUCACAGAACACAAGACUUUGAACAAGGAAUACAGCCUCAAGAACCGAAGGUCUCUAGUACUUUCUAGUGGUCACCGUUUCUCAUAGAAUGAUUUUCUAAUUCUCCUUUACACUUGUUAACUAUUCAAGUAAUUUACUCUAAAGUUUAGAUUAUAAUCUUUAUAUUAAUAAGCUUUAACUUUAAGAAUGUAAUAUUUAUACUUGUAACUACUCAUGAUAUAUUAAAUAUAUGGGGUAUAUAGUCAUUAAAGCUUGAUGGAAGCUUUGGCUAUAAAUACUGUUAUUUAAUCCUCAUUCUAAUUUACUCAAUUUCCUAAAGUUUUACACCAUUUAUAUAGAGUGAAUAAAGUUUAGAAAUGCCAAAUAUAUAUAAAAGAGAACAGUGAAUACGUCAGGAACAUUAAUAGGUGGAGGUAUUUUUUUUAUUAUUAAAUCUUAUAAUUUUGUUAUAAAUAUAUUUAUUCCGCAUUAUAGAAUUGUUAAUUAAGUUUUACAAGUAAUCAAAAUAAAAAAAGGAGAGAGCUCGUAAAGAAAUAACCUGGAAUCAAAGCACAUUCCCACAAAUAAAAGAUAUUUCCCGCAGAUGAAACUCAUUAUGACUUCGAAUGGACUAGACAAAGGUAUGUUAUUUGGUAUUUUCUAGUUAUUACAAAAUUGUUCGAGUGUAUGGAAGUUUUUUCUAAUUUUUUUUCAUAGUAAAUUAAUGUAUUGACUCCUAAGAUCAACAAUAUUUAUAAAUAUUGCCUAUGUUUAUUUUUUCUUUUCAAAAACUUUAAAGCAAUGAAAUUACUUAUUUAGUUCUAACGUCAAAAAAGUAUUAAUUGUUGAUCAAGAGUUUUUUUGUUUUUUUUAGAAUAUAGUAAAAAUAUAUUUUUAUCUUUAGAAAAAACAAAUAACAAGACAUAUAUCUAAGAGUAUUUUUAUCUUUUCACACAAGUUUUUUUUAUGAUAUAUUAUUAUUUUUUAAUUUAGUUUUUAUUUUUUUAACUUUAGAUUUUUCCCUUAACUUUUUUUUUGUUAAAGUUGUAUUGCCACAAAGAAAUAGGUGAGGGGUUUGUUUGGUACGUCUUUUUAAAUAUAUAGAAACCACUUAAAAGCUUUAAUUUUUAAGAACAUGAGAUUAAUUACCAGCUUCUUUUAAAAAUUAAUUUUUUUAUUAUAAUUUUGCUUUAUUCUUAUGUGACAAAAUUAUCCUCCAACCAAGUGUGAAGGCAUGUUAAAGACUUGGAUGUCCUAUAGCCUAAAUUAAAAUUUUAUCAAUAUUGUUUAACUAGAUUUAUGUAAAAUAAAUUUGUAAAUCUUGAAUAAAUUAUAAAACAAUCCUGAAAUUUUGAAUGGAGUCUUCUAAUAUAAUGUUUUAACUUGGGUUAAAAUUUUAGAAUUUUUAGAGAAAUUCAGAAAUUUAAUAAAAAAUCAUAAUUUGACCAGUUUUAUAUUAUUGAGCUGAAAUUUUAUAAAAAAUCUUAAACAUUAUUUAAUAAAAUCUAGUUAAAAUUUUAGAAUAAACAGAGCUUGUUAGUGUUGUUGUAACCCAAUUUUAGAUUCACUAAGAUUUUCUCGAAUGUUAUUUUAUUUCUAUUAUUAUUUAUAAAAAUCCAAAAAAAUAAGAAAAAAGUUUAAAAUUCAAAAAAUAUUUUUUUCUCGAGUCAACCGCAUCUUUCCAUCAAAACAGAGUUCACCGGGUCAAUACGGGUCAAACCAUGUCAACCAGGGUAAAAAAGGAGUUUUCGGUUCGGGUCAAAACCAUCAUUUUCGACCAAAACCAAGUUCACCGGAUCCAUACGGGUCAAACCAUGUCGACCAAGGUAAAAAAUGAGUUUUCGGGCUGUUUCGGGUCAAAACCGAGUUCAUCGGGUCAAUACGGGUCUAACCAUGUCGACCGGGAUGAAAAAUGAGUUUCAGGUCAUUUUGGGUCAAAAUUGUUACUUUUUGGUCAAAACCCGGUCCACCGGGUUGAUACUCAUUGAAAGUUUUUUUUAAUGUUUCAACAUAAUUUUCGGUAAUUAAAAUUGAUUUUUAGCGAUUGAGUCGGGCUUUUUCUAAUACUGAUUUGAGUUUUUAAUUUUAUCUAUAUAAAUAUUUAUUAUUAUAUAUAAUAAAACAAAAUCAAUAAUACAAAAAUUUGUAAUAUUAGGCGGGGCAGUUCAACUAUUGUAGGCAGCGUAAUUUUGCCGUCAAUUAUUUUAGGCAAUGUAAUUUUGUCGAUACCAUUAUAGGCGUUGUAGGCGGAGUAAUCGUGCCGCUACCACGUUGUCCCAUGUCACUGGCUAUAAAUAGCCAGUGACAAUUCGACACACAGGGGGGAGAGAAGAAAAAAAAAAGAGAAUACUAUUAAGGUUUUUUUUAAUUUUUCUUCAUGAGAUUUUUUUUUAAAAACAAUUAAAAAUAUACUAAAAAUAUAUUAACCGUUAGAUCUAAUAGUGUUAGUUCUGGACCUUUGAUUUAAUAAGUUACAAUAGAGCUUACCGCACUAGAUUAAACCCCAAAUCCAUCUCAUCCGUUGAAAUAAUCUUCCCUUCAUCUUGUCGUGCCACGUUACCCGGUGUACUGAUCUUUCGGUGCACCGCUCUACACCAAACCAAAGAUCAGCUCAUCCAGAACGUCCGAUCCACCUGCAGAUCCAGCCAAUCACAGCCAUCCGAUCGUUUCAUCCGAGAUCCAACAACGUACAGUGUUUAACGGUGCAGGUACAUCAUGCACGCGUUCAUAUCUUUAGCUUUUAUUAUUUAGCUAGCACUGAUUUAUAAUUACAACAUUAUUAAAUACAUUUAUUUUAUAAGCUCACGCGCAUGAAAAUGUCAUCUCAUAUGUAUUAAAUUUGGUUUGAUUUGACAAUUCAAGUUACCAAGAGUCUAGCCUAGUUAGGUUUUAUUUUAAACAAAAUUAUUAAAAUAAUGUUAUUUUAAAAUUGAUUUGAACAACUCGAUGGAUAAACCCACGACGUGAGAUUUGUAUCUAUUAAGACCUCGAACCUAAUACGAGAACAAUGCACAGGCCAAUUUAGCAGCUUUGUGGUGUGAAAUCUAAUGAGUCGAAGACGAGGAUCGAGUACCGUGAAAUAUAAGUAUUUAGGUGGGUUACAAUAGCAGCCGAUUGAAUGCCAUCGGAUACCUAGCCUCCUCUGGACAGGGGAGUCAUACUCAUAUGGGAAUUUCCGUCUCUAUAUCACAGAGAAAAUGAGUUGUCUAUAGAGGACCUCCACAUUUUAAGACAAGCACAGCUCCUGAGUUCAAGUCAAGAUAAGCAACACCUUUCCGUGGCAACCCCAAUUAAUAUUUGAUAUCACCAUUAGGCUCUGAUUUAAAUCUCGACUUUUGAAAAUCUCUCCCAUUAUGUAAACAGCAGAUUUGUCAAUGUGUAGUCAAUAUUAAGAAUAUGGAAAUACAAAUAAAAUUGCUCAUAUAUAGCUUCAAUCCAUGCCUCAUCUCAUGUAGAGAUCACAGAGAACCUGAAUGAUGAGAUGAUGCACACGAGAUUGGCCUACCAUCUACAGGCAAACGACUUUGGUAGAGAAUAAUUGAGCAAACGUUUACCUUAAAAAUCUUAUGCUUGUGUAGUUACAAGUUUGUUGAACACAAAUCGGGCUUGUGGAAACCAUGAAUUCUAAUAAGAUUUUAUUUCAAAUAAUUCUAAAAAUGAUGGAUAUGGCCUCUCCAUAAUCCUCUCUGAAACUACAGGGGAUCUGCCUGCAGUUUGAAAUGAAGAAGAUGAAGAGGGUGGUGGAGCUGAGGCUUCACAAGUGGACUGAGCACCAUCUUGACUGCUCAAAUUCGUACUUGUUCCACCAGUAGAGCCUUUCAUCAAUGCCUUUGGUGCUGGUGGUCUUGCAAUCCCUACAAUUCCCUCAAGCAUUUGCACUACUUUUCCCAUUGUUGGUCUUUGAGAGGGAUGCUCCUGAAUGCACCAAAAGCUGACCUGAACAGCUCUCGUCACUUGUUCCAUGUCUACACCCUGAUCAGCAAGUCUCUUGUCAACAAUUGUCUCCACAUUACCUUUCUCAAACUCUCCAUAAGCCCACUCUGAGAAACCUCUUUUGAUUGAUUUCUUCUGAGACUUCAAAGUCCUCCCACUCACAAGCUCCAACAAAACCAUACCAUAACUGUAAAGAUCAGAUUUUGAUGUUAUUGGGAGGUUUGCUAGCCAUUCUGGUGCCAAAUAUCCUCUCGUGCCUCUAAUGGUAGUCAAGGACCGGUACCUUUGAUCCUUUGUGCUUAUAAGCUUCGCUAGGCCAAAAUCAGACACCUUGGCAUUGAAAUUCGCAUCCAAGAGAAUGUUUUCUGGCUUUAUAUCACAGUGAACAAUGCAAUCUCGACAUUCCUC